rnacentral:rRNA from 1 species
AUUGAACGCUGGCGGAAUGCUUUACACAUGCAAGUCGAGCGGCAGCGCGGGGGCAACCCUGGCGGCGAGCGGCGAACGGGUGAGUAAUACAUCGGAACGCGUCCUUAAGUGGGGGAUAGCUCGGCGAAAGCCGGAUUAAUACCGCAUAAGCUCUGAGGAGGAAAGCGGGGGCUCCGUAAGGACCUCGCGCUGUUGGAGCGGCCGAUGUCGGAUUAGCUAGUUGGUGGGGUAAAGGCCCACCAAGGCGACGAUCCGUAGCUGGUCUGAGAGGAUGAUCAGCCACACUGGAACUGAGACACGGUCCAGACUCCUACGGGAGGCAGCAGUGGGGAAUUUUGGACAAUGGGGGCAACCCUGAUCCAGCCAUUCCGCGUGAGUGAAGAAGGCCUGGU